AUUUUAAAGGCCUGAUUUAAAGCCCAUUAAAGUCCAUGGAAGACUUUCCAUGGACUUCAAUGGGCUUUGCAUCAGGCCAUUACAGU
rnacentral:pre_miRNA from 1 species